rnacentral:rRNA from 2 species
GAUGAUAUGUAUCAUAUACAUCUUGAGAAAUCAAGACAAGUAUAUAAAGAAACUAUUAUGGAUGGUUAGCUAUAUAUUUCAAGAUAUUGAUCUAGAAAAAUAUAAACUAGAAAUCAUAGAGAAAUCUAAUUAUAAGACAAAGUGAAUUGAAAUAUCUUAGUAACUUUAGUAAAAGAAAUCAAACGAGAUUGUUAUUUGGUGUCUUCUGAAUAGCAAAAGCCUUAAUAAAUAAUUACUAAAAUUAAUGAUAGUAAUUAUUUAUAGUAAAUAUAUUAAAUGAUAUAUUUAAGUAUAACGGAAAAAAAUCUGUUGAAAAAUAGGGGAACCUUCCUCUAAGGCUAAAAAAAAUAUAUAAGCGAUAGAGUAACAGUACCGUGAGGGAAAUACCCUGAAAUAGUAGUUUUAUAAGCAGCUCAAGUUAAAAUUUAAAUAAAUAAUAAGAGCGUACCUUUUGCAUAAUGGGUCAGCAAGUUAAUUUUAGAUGCAAGUAACAUCUCUUUUAUAAGCAUUUACACAUUUAGAAUAUUAUCAUUUACAAUAGAUGAUAACAAUAUAGAUAUGUAAAUUUAUUAAUAAAAUUAGGAGAUAGAUACGUAGAUAAACCAAUUAUGAAAAAAUGAAUUAGUAUCUAGAAUUAGACCCGAAGGCUAGUGAUCUUACCAUGGUCAGGGUUAUAAAAGCCCGAACGGGUUAUCGUUGUAAAGAUAUCCGAUGAACUGUGGUAAGUUAGUGAAAGACAAAACUGACUAGUAUAGCUGGUUUUCCGCGAAACCUAUGUAAGUAGGUAAUUUAAUUAACAUCUUAGCAGGUACAGAACUGUGAUCUCGGACAAUAUUUAAUAUAUUUGUCAACAUCGGGGGGUUGUAGUGACUUUACCGGAGAGUAUUUGCACUCGGAAGGGCAAAGAUGAAUGUUAAAUAAUCGGACAUAGUGCGAUAAGGUUGUAUGUCUAAAGGGAAACAGCCCAGAACAAGAGUUAAGGUUCCAAAAUUAUUGUUAAGUGAAAUUAAGGAUGUUUUUUUUUAAAACAAUCAGGAAAUAGGCUUAGAAGCGGCCAUUUUUUGAAGACCUCGUAACAGAGCACUGAUUAAUAAAUUAGGAAAAAACGCCGAAAAUUUAACGGAUCUAAAUAAUAUACCGAAACCUUGUACACAAAUAAAAAUUAAAGCGUUAUAGCUUAAUAUUUUGUGGGGUAGCGGAACAUUGGAUUAAACAAAAUAUUAAUAUUUUUCUUAAAAUAUUAAAGAUCUAGCAUCUGUUAAAUCCAAGAGAGAAUGCUGACAUGAGUAACGAAAAAGGCUUUUAGCCUCGCCUGAAGCUUAUGGUUUCAUCUAAAAUCGGUGUCUAAAAAAAUUAAUCAAAAGAUAAUUUUGAUGACGUUUUGUAUAAGAUAAUACCAAAACCUUUAAUAAGUAAUAAAGGUUCUGGAAAAGUUUAUUUUAUUAUUUGAAGUGAAAAAUAUUUAAUACUCAUACUUAUUGGUAUAAAAUUGUAAAUUAUAAUAUAUAAUACAUACUUAUUAUUAUAUUGUGAUUUACAAAUAUAAUAGAAUGAGUAAAAUAAAUAUAUUUUAACCAAAUAAUAGUCUUUAUCUAUAAUUAUAAUAAUAUAAUAUAAUAAUUAUUAAUAAUUAAUUACCAUUAGAUUAUUAAUAUGUAUUUAUAGGCUAUAUUUGAAUUGUAUAUCAAGAUUCUUAUAUAGAUAUAUCUAUAUCUAUUAAACGUUAUUAGAAAUAAUAUUAUAAUAUAUAGAAAAGAUAACAUUAUACUGGAAAAUAAUAAAUAACCGUACCUAGAAACUAACUCAAGUAAGCAAGUAGAGAAUACAAAGGCGUUUGAGAGAACAAUCAUUAAGGAACUCGGCAAAUUGACUCUGUACCUUUGGAAUAAGGAGGACCAUUAUUAUUAAAUUUAACAUAUAAUAAAGUAUGUAAUUAAAUAUGAAAAAUUAAAUUAAUAAUAAGAGGAAUCAUGAAAUAAUGUUGUACGACUGUUUAAUAAAAACACAGCACUCUGCAAAGAUAAAAAAUCAAAGUAUUGAGUGUGAUGUCUGCCCAAUGUCGGCUGGGUAACGGAUCUACCUUGAUUAUUAACUGAGGUUUUGAAGGACACCCCGAUUAAUGGCGGCCUUACCUAUGAGGGUCCUAAGGUAGCGAAAUACCUUGGCCGUUAAAUGCGGUCCUGCAUGAAUGAUUUAACGAUGCAACAGCUGUCUCGAUGAUUGUCUCAGUGAAAUUGGAAUAGCAGUGCAGAUACUGUUUACCUCUAGAUAGACGAGAAGACCCUAUGCAGCUUUACUGUUACUAAUUAUAAGAGUGAAAUUUUAGGAUGAUUUAUAGUGUAUAAGGUAGUUGUUGAGAUAAUAAUGAAACACCUUUAUUCGAAUCCUUAUAUAUACUCUUAAUGAUUAGAAGGCAGUUUAUGCGGGGCACAGAUCCCACAAAAAGUACCUGGGUAUAUCCAAAGUUCAUAUUGUAAACUUGUAUAUUUAUAUACAAAUAUUUUAAUUUGUUCUAAUUAUUAUUAUAAUUAUACAGUUAUUAUUCGAUUAAAUUCCACAAUUAUUUUUUAUUUUAAGUAAGAUUUUAACUAUGCGGUGAAUAGAUGUAUUUUAAACUUUACUGGACUUUUAGUUCAAAGAUUUAAAAGUUUAUUUGUUAUAUUAAUAAAGUAUUUAUCUUUAUUAAUAUAAUAUUUAUUAAUACUUUAAAAGUUUAAUGGCUAAAUCUUGCUUUACUGUUUGACCUACAAGUCUAUCAGUCGCGUAAGCGGGGCAUAUGAUCACAAGAUGCAUUAAGGAAAGGUCUUGGAUUAUAGAAAAAGUUACGCUAGGGAUUUAUAACUGUGAGUCCUCCAAUAUUAUAAAAUAUUGGUAAUAUAUUGGGUAAAUUUCAAAGACAACUUAUAUUAAUUAAGUGUAUUUGAAGCGAAACUUAUUUUAGCAUGUGUUUAUCUUUAAGAUAAAUUAAAAUAAGGACGUUCAACGACUAAAAGGUGAGUAUAGCUAACAAUAAUCCUUUUUUAACGCCCAACAUCUUUAUUAAUUAAUUAAAAACACUAUUUGUAUAAUAAUUAUUAUUUUUUAAUAAUGUAUUAGACUUGGUUUACCAAGCUUUAAUAUUAUAUAAUUAAUUCUAUUAAUUAUAUUAAUAUAUAUAUAUAUAUAUAUAAAUAUGUUAAAUAUUAUAAAAUCAAAAUUAAAUACUACAUAUAAAAAAAAAGGAUUAAAUGAUUCUAGUAUAGCUAUUUAUAAUAGAGAUAUAAUACCUGCUGUAAGAAAUUGAAAAAGUAGUAUAUAUGCUUAUAAUAAAAAUGCUAUUAAUUUAAUUCCUAUUAAAAGUAAAUAUGUAAUGAAAUUAAUUAAAGCAUACUUUAAUUUAUAUAAUUUACAACUAGAAUCUUUAUUAAGAAAAAAUAGAUUACGUCGUAGAUUUAGAAAAAUAUCUACAAAUAGAAUAUUUAUUAGUGAUGGUGAAUUUAAACAUACUAAUGAUAAAGUUAAUAUAACAUUAUAUGUUUAUAAUAAACAAAAACUUAAUUACUUAUUAAAACUUAAAAAAAGAUAUUUAACAUUAUUUAAAAAAGCUAAAUUUGCUAGAAAAUUAAAAUUAAUAAAAAAUAUAGGAUUAAAUAUUUUGUGUAAACAUAAACAAAAAAGUAUAUUAUUAAGUAAUCUUUUACCUAAAUACAAUACUCAAGUAAAUACAGCACAAAAUAUUUACUAUUUAAGAUUUAUUAAAAAAAGUUUUAAAAGAUUAAAAUUCUAUAUGUAUUAUAAACAAAUGCUUUAUAUAAAUAAAGCUAAAUUUGAAAAUACUUAUUUACAAGGUUUAAUAAGUUUAGUAAAAAAUAUUUUUAAUAAAAAUGUUGAAUUUAAUAUAAUUAAUUUAAAAUAUUUUUAUUUUAAUAGUAAUAUAUUUACUCAACCUUUAGAAUUAAAAUUAAAAAAAAAAAGAAAUGUUUUAAGAUAUCUUAAAGUUUUAAUAAGAAAAGCAAAAAUUAAAAAUGUAAAAUUAGCAGAAAAAUCUAAAAAAUUUUUUAAUUUAAAUAUUUUUAAUAGUGAUAAUUUUUUACAACAAGAUAAUACUAAAUCUAAAUACCUUAAAAAAAUUAUUUUAAGUGAUUUAAAAUAUAAAAGAGUAUCUGGUGUUAGAUUAGAAGCUGCUGGUAGAUUAACUAGACGUUUUUCAGCUUCUAGAUCUCAACGUAGAACUAAAUAUAAAGGUAAUUUAGAAAAUGUUUAUUCUUCAUUUAAAGGUUAUCCUACACCAAUGUUAAGAGGAAAUGAUAAAGCUAAUUUACAAUAUACUGUAAUUAACUCAACUUCACGUGUUGGAGCUUUUGGUGUUAAAGGUUGAGUAAGUAGUACUUAAUUUAUCUUUUCUUUUUAUUUACAAUUUUCCCUCCCUUAUAUUAAUUAAUAAAGAUGAUGAAAUAGUCUGAACCGUUUUGAGAAAAAUGGAAAUAAAAGUAUAUUUGGCUUCUAGCUGAAUCUUUUAUGAUAACAUAAAUUGAACAGGCUAAUUUGCGCAAGAGAGUACAAAUUGAGUGCGCGGUUUGGCACCUCGAUGUCGGCUUAGCUCAUCCUCAUGCAUGCAGAAAUCAUGAAGGGUUCGACUGUUCGUCGAUUAAAGAGCUACAUGAGCUGGGUUUAAUACGUCGUGAGACAGUAUGGUUUCUAUCUUCUAGAGGAACAUAAAGUAGAUUAAAGAUAGCCCCUUCGUACGAAAGGAGUUGGGUAUAUUGAUCUCUGGUUUACCUGUUGUUUAUGAUUUAUAUUAUAACAUAUGUUAUAAUGAUAAUUAAUACUUAUACUAAGGUAUUGUUACACUAUUUAUAGUAUAACCAGACAACAUAGGCAUGGCAGGAAAGCUACAUCAGUUAAAGAUAAGUGUUGAAAGCAUCUAAACGCGAAGCAAACUUUAUGAUACUUUUAUACGUAGUAGAACACUACGAGCAUAAUUGUUUAAUUACAAUUAAUAGGCUUUAGUUGUAAGAAUGAUAACAUUUUUAGAUAUAAAGUACUAAUUUAAAAAAAAAAGUAUACUAAAUAUUAUUUAAUAUCAUUAUAAUAUUUUUUUUAUAUAUUACAAUA